UGUUCUUCGUUUCUCCGCUGUCAGUAAAUCGUGAGGAUGUGGACUCAAAGACACUGAAACCAAUGACUGUCGAAGCUUCUUACGAGAAUUUCAACCUCGUCUUCAAUGGUUGGCGAUUUCGCUUGGGUGCAACACAGGGGUGAGCCUCACGCGGUGAUAAAUAUGUUUCUUUAUUGGAGUACACGAGACUCAGUUGCCAUGGUUGGUUUAGUGGUAACCUGACGGCUGUUCUAGUAUCAGGUUUGGUAUGGACGAAAACCGCACCGGGCAGUCUGUAACCUGACUCAGCAUGCUACUGCUUUAGUUUUGAGGGUAUGAAGAUCAAGGUCCUUCAACUUGUACGGUUACACAAUCAGCAAUGAUAAAGCAAAGAAGAAUCCGCGACUAGCCGGUGAACAGUGAUACGUAUGAUCGCGGUAAGUUGCUUCUAUUUCUGUUCCUUGGCUCAACGUCCACAUUCUCAGAAUGUCCGCAGAGGGCUGCACGAUAGCCACGUCGACGACAAUGGUCUUGACGAGAAAAAGUGGAUAAUAGCGUGCAAUGUAUCCGAUCGAAAAAAGGAUAAACGGUCAUCAAUGUAGCGAAAGUAGUAUUUUCUAAGGGAUUGAGGGCCAGCAACACAGGAAGUAACGGCCCGGGAAUCGAUUGUAGUAAGACUGUAGCAUUCAGAGCAGUGGAGGAUAAUCGUCUUCAGCUGUUACAUGAAAGCGGCUGUACAUUAUCCCAAAGCUACGAUACUACGUGUGGUGCAACGCACAGAUCCAGUACUCAUUUUUAAGAGGAGCAAGGGACUGAUAGGAAUCAACCUGUGGCAGAUCUUUCAGCAAGUGGGCAAUCGCCCCACAAAAAUCCACUUUAUCCUCAACUAGUAUUGCGGAUUAUCAAUGCGGAAAAAUCACAACGUCGGGACGAACGACGGAAGCAACUUGGCCAAGCCGACUAUGCAAUUGUAGGCGGAACUAGGUCAUCUGUGUCAUAUUCGGACGAUAUUUGUGUGCAUGGCAGCCUCCGUGCGCAUGUCGGCAAAUGCCAUGCCGAGAUUUCAGCGGCCCAAUGGGCUUGCACCACGUGAUUACACCUACUGCUUUAUUAGGCGAGUUUUUUAAAAAGACAACGUUGCAUACGGUGCACUGUCUCCACUGCCAGUGGUGACAGUGAAGCUCUAUCUUCUGCCUGUAGCAACUGGAUUUUAAGCCAAUCAGAAUGUCGGUGGUCGAUCCGAAUGCUUGCGAGCAUUGAACUCUCGCUCUUUUCAAUCAUUAGAAAUGUCACUAAGAACUAUCGCUUGCAGCAAUAUAGCAGAUCAGUAAACGCGUGGAUGAGAACUAACUGCGAUUUCGUAAGUGAGUUAUGCUCUGCAGCAUUACCCAACUUUCUUGCUUAGUUCUAUUUAAGUGAGGACUACGAUGACUAGGAUGCUGAAAGAAAGGUUGAACUUCAACCUCUUCAAUCCCCCCCUGUGUGCUUUGAAGCUGUAGAAGACGGUGAGAUAAGCCGUUCUGCUUAGGUUUCACAGCAUGUUGUGAUUGGCUUUGUGUAAUACAAGAUUAAGAUGCGUUCAAAUCC